rnacentral:rRNA from 1 species
UACAGAGGGGGCAAGCGUUGUUCGGAAUUACUGGGCGUAAAGGGCGCGUAGGCGGCCUGCUAAGUCGAACGUGAAAUCCCCGGGCUCAACCCGGGAACUGCGUCCGAUACUGGGUGGCUUGAAUUCGGGAGAGGGAUGCGGAAUUCCAGGUGUAGCGGUGAAAUGCGUAGAUAUCUGGAGGAACACCGGUGGCGAAGGCGGCAUCCUGGACCGAGAUUGACGCUGAGGCGCGAAAGCCAGGGGAGCAAACGGG